UUCCAGCUCAGCAGCACCACCUGGCUCAGCAGAAACAAACUGCAGAACAAGACGGACAGAAGACGAACAGGCAUUUAUACCAGAACACUGCAGGAGGGAUGACAUCAAACCCUGCUGCCCGGCUGUUGAAGAAGAGCUUUUUCUGAUGACCGAUAGCAGAACAUCUGCCCAACAGUUUUACUCAGUUUCUAUGCUGCUUGAAGGAAGAAAGAAAGGAAGGAAGGUAGUAUCAUGAUGUCAGAGAGAACACAAAUAGGAUCUGUAUGUAGAUAUCCUUUUUUGAUGAUGAUACUGAAUUACUAAGGGUGGGGGGUAUUUGGGGAACUUGAGCCAAACUCUACUUUGGUUCGGCUCUCUAAAUGAGUUAAAUGUAGGGAACAUUUUGGAAAGAGUGUGCCUUGUGACAAAGAUCUUACAGAAGGUCUUUGCACAAAAUAACUGGGUUCCAGGGAUAAAAUUGCUAAAACAUUCAUCUUACAGUUCAUAAGGAGAAUAUCAAGAAGAGGAUGGACAAGAAGAACAACACUGAAGUUCAAAAGUAAAUCAUGUUAC